GAUGAACGCUGGCGGCGUGCUUAACACAUGCAAGUCGAACGAAGCAUUUAGAACGGAUUACUUCGGUUUGAAGUUCUUUAUGACUGAGUGGCGGACGGGUGAGUAACGCGUGGGUAACCUGCCUUGUACUGGGGGAUAGCAGCUGGAAACGGCUGGUAAUACCGCAUAAGCGCACAAUGUUGCAUGACAUGGUGUGGAAAACUCCGGUGGUAUAAGAUGGACCCGCGUCUGAUUAGCUAGUUGGUGAGAUAACAGCCCACCAAGGCGACGAUCAGUAGCCGACCUGAGAGGGUGACCGGCCACAUUGGGACUGAGACACGGCCCAGACUCCUACGGGAGGCAGCAGUGGGGAAUAUUGCACAAUGGAGGAAACUCUGAUGCAGCGACGCCGCGUGGGUGAAGAAGUAAUUCGUUAUGUAAAGCUCUAUCAGCAGGGAAGAUAGUGACGGUACCUGACUAAGAAGCUCCGGCUAAAUACGUGCCAGCAGCCGCGGUAA
rnacentral:rRNA from 1 species